UUUUAUGGGUGAGCAAAGAAAGUGGUUUUUUUCAGAUGCAAUCUACUCCUAGUGAAGAUGCUGUGAA
rnacentral:pre_miRNA from 2 species